GCCGCGUUAGCUUAGUGGUAAAGCAAAGGUCUGAAGAACCUUUGAUGGGUGUUCGAUUCACCCACGCGGCACAA
rnacentral:tRNA from 2 species